rnacentral:rRNA from 1 species
UACAGAGGUCUCAAGCGUUGUUCGGAAUUCAUGGUGCGUAAAGGGGUGUGAGUAGGUGCGGCGGCUAAGUCGGGUGUGAAAGUUUGAAGGCUACAACCUUCAACUAGCACCUAAUACUACUUUGCUCGAGGCCUGAAGAGGAGCUUGGAAUUCUCGGUGUAGCAGUGAAAUGCGUAGAUUUCGAGAAGAACGCUCGCAGCGAAAGCGAAAGCUCUGGUCAGGUUCUGACGCUGAGGCACGAAGGCUAGGGGAGCAAACGGG